UAGACAUUUCGAGCAGUUUCACACACGGUUUUGUGAUCGCACACAAGUUUUUAUAUACCCUUCUCUGUUACUCCUAUGACUGUGAUCGUCUGUCCUACUCUCGAGACGCAUAAUCGUCCAUUUUCGAUCCAACUCGGAAGAUAUAAACGCUGCUGACCGUGUAUGAACACACUGAUUUUACAUGUGCGCUUGUGUUGGUGAAAAAUUGACAAGUGCUACGAAGUCGGGUAAGCAAAACCAAUACAAAAUCCACCAGAAAUAACUAACAUUUUGCAUCUUUUUAGAAAAAGAAUUUUCCCGGACGAUUGUUCAACAUGGCACCGUGAUCAUCCCUGUGUCGGAAGCGCAGAAGCUAUCAGGGCGAGCUUGAGCGAAGGAAGUUUCCGGAUCUGUUUCGGUGCCGGCAUCAGCGAACAGGAGCUUUGAUGUGAUCUACUAGUGCAAUGGUUCGCAUGUUGGCCAUCGUAGCUUCGAAUCCCAUGAGAUUUAUAAAGGAUUUACUACCCAACUGAACCGAGAGCCUGAACGGUGAACUUUCAACAAGGGAAGGAUUCAACAAAUGGAUUGUUUCGGGAAUGAAGCAAUUCAGUUGCACAAAGUUUUCUACAACGCGGAAGUUUGGGCCUGGUUGGUUUCUUUGGCUGAGGUUGGCGUAAUCCUGUGGCUGGCCGAGGUUGGCGUUAUCCGGUGGCUGGUUGAGGUUGACGAUUUGGAUCAACAAUUGUUGCA